UUUGAUCCUGGCUCAGGAUAAACGCUGGCGGCGCACAUAAGACAUGCAAGUCGAACGGACUUAACCAUUAGUUUACUAUUGGAGCGGUUAGUGGCGGACUGGUGAGUAACACGUAAGCAACCUGCCUAUCAGAGGGGAACAACAGUUAGAAAUGACUGCUAAUACCGCAUAUGCCAUGAAUAUCACAUGAUAUAAAUGGGAAAGGAGCAAUCCGCUGAUAGAUGGGCUUGCGUCUGAUUAGAUAGUUGGUGGGGUAACGGCCUACCAAGUCGACGAUCAGUAGCCGGACUGAGAGGUUGAACGGCCACAUUGGGACUGAGAUACGGCCCAGACUCCUACGGGAGGCAGCAGUCGGGAAUAUUGCGCAAUGGAGGAAACUCUGACGCAGUGACGCCGCGUGCAGGAAGAAGGUUUUCGGAUUGUAAACUGCUUUAGACAGGGAAGAUAAUGACAGUACCUGUAGAAUAAGCUCCGGCUAACUACGUG
rnacentral:rRNA from 1 species